CAGCUACAUGGUGAACACAAAACGAGCUAUUCUUUCGCCUUUUACUAAAGAAUACCGUGUGUUCACAAUACCAAGCAGCAUAUCCCUCGUUUUUGGAGGGCUCAUACCCGUUUUUGGAGGGCUU